UUGGGCNGUGCANUGGAGACGANNGNGUGNNNACAAUACANGAGGANGGGGGGGAGCUCAUNAUCAUCNUAUGCAAGUCGAACGAACUCUGGCUAUUGAUUGGUGCUUGCAUCAUGAUUUACAUUUGAGUGAGUGGCGAACUGGUGAGUAACACGUGGGAAACCUGCCCAGAAGCGGGGGAUAACACCUGGAAACAGAUGCUAAUACCGCAUAACAACUUGGACCGCAUGGUCCGAGCUUGAAAGAUGGCUUCGGCUAUCACUUUUGGAUGGGUCACACCAUGAUAAGCUAGAUGGUGGGGUAACGGCUCACCAACCCAAUGAUACGUACCCGACCUGAGAGGGUAAUCGGCCACAUUGGGACUGAGACACA
rnacentral:rRNA from 1 species